CAUGGAAUGCAUUAAAGAGUAGGCUGCUGUAGAAUAUUAAUGUGUCUUGUUGUUGAAUUCUAGUCCAGUCGAAUUUAAAGAACAAUUUAAUGUGCAGGAGCUGCUGGUUUUUUUUUUCCAUGUGCUUAUUUAAUGGUCGGUAAUUAAUGGAGAAGCAUGCACUUUGACGUGCAAUUAAGGAAAAGGCUGCUGAUUGCCUUUCUCCAAACACCUUUUUCGUGGAGAUCACAUACAUUAAAGGAGUCCAGCCGAUUUUUCCCAUGAACACAUCACAAGGGCUGUUCGUGCACCUAAAAUGCCAUCAAUGUGGCUGCUGUUUAUUCGGCUUCCCAAGAAUGAAUUAGAGUUUGGUCGAUCCUCUUCCCAAAGCAGCACCAUUCUUUUCACACUUACUGUUCACACCAUGUCCAUUCGGUUCUGCAAUGUUCACACUAUGAAGACUUUUCAAAAUCGGCCAUUCACACUCCAAAUGACUGUUCAAGACCUCCUAUAUUGCUGGUAAUUUUUCAGCAACAAUUGCACAUUGAUUGAGCUCAUUUAAACUCAUUGGACGCAUCUAGCUGCUGCCAUGCAUCAUUCAAGUUUUUCAAGUACAUUUGCUUAAUCUAGAAGCUGCCCCUUGGACUCCAUUCAGCUGAAUUUAGCUACAGCAACUUAAUGCUUCAAUUCUGGAAUUUUCUAGUUCAUUCUAGUUUAAUUUGCUUAGCCAUGAAGAUGACCAUUCGGCUAGCUAGUACUUAGUUUAUAAAUAGUUUGCUAUUUCAUUUUGUAAGGGACUUUUGACUUUGAUCAUUUGUGAAUGAACUUUGUUCAAAGAGUGAGUUUUCUCCUCUCUAAAUUUGUACGAGUUUCGAUCUGACUUAUUUAGUGCGCUAGUGGCGUCAAUCGUUCUUUUUCGAACUUAUCACCUUUAUUUUGGUGUAGCGUUCAACCCUUCUACAAAUUCCGUAAACCCACCUUGAACCGAAUAGAAAUCAGGGUAACACUCUUUAGUGUUGAAUCGUUUCUGGUGUUUAAGCUCACUUAUCCAUCCCCACCGAAUAUCCUAUAUUUUAUCUUUAUUAGUUUAUCCUUAAAUCGAGCCAAACAAAUUAACCAUCUUCCUCAAUCUCCUUGUUGUCGAACUAUCCAUAUCAUACUUAACCUUUU
rnacentral:lncRNA from 1 species